rnacentral:rRNA from 1 species
UGACCGCUGGCGGCGUGCCUACUACAUGCAAGUCGAGCGAACAGAUGAGGAGCUUGCUCCUCUGACGUUAGCGGCGGACGGGUGAGUAACACGUGGAUAACCUACCUAUAAGACUGGGAUAACUUCGGGAAACCGGAGCUAAUACCGGAUAAUAUAUUGAACCGCAUGGUUCAAUAGUGAAAGACGGUUUUGCUGUCACUUAUAGAUGGAUCCGCGCCGCAUUAGCUAGUUGGUAAGGUAACGGCUUACCAAGGCAACGAUGCGUAGCCGACCUGAGAGGGUGAUCGGCCACACUGGAACUGAGACACGGUCCAGACUCCUACGGGAGGCAGCAGUAGGGAAUCUUCCGCAAUGGGCGAAAGCCUGACGGAGCAACGCCGCGUGAGUGAUGAAGGUCUUCGGAUCGUAAAACUCUGUUAUUAGGGAAGAACAAAUGUGUAAGUAACUAUGCACGUCUUGACGGUACCUAAUCAGAAAGCCACGGCUAACUACGUG